rnacentral:rRNA from 1 species
GUAGGUGGCAAGCGUUGUCCGGAAUUAUUGGGCGUAAAGCGCGCGCAGGCGGGUUCUUUAAGUCUGAUGUGAAAGCCCACGGGCUCAACCGUGGAGGGUCAUUGGAAACUGGAGAACUUGAGUACAGAAGAGGAAAGCGGAAUUCCACGUGUAGCGGUGAAAUGCGUAGAGAUGUGGGGGAACACCAGUGGCGAAGGCGGCUUUCUGGUCUGUAACUGACGCUGAGGCGCGAAAGCGUGGGGAGCAAACAGGAUUAGAUACCCUGGUAGUCCACGCCGUAAACGAUGAGUGCUAAGUGUUAGGGGGUUUCCGCCCCUUAGUGCUGCAGCUAACGCAUUAAGCACUCCGCCUGGGGAGUACGGCCGCAAGGCUG